rnacentral:rRNA from 1 species
UGCGUAGGCGGGGCAAUUGGUCAGUGGUGAAAUCCUGCGGCUUAACCGUAGAACUGCCAUUGAUACUGUUGCCCUUGAGUAUAGUUGAGGUGGGCGGAAUGUGUAAUGUAGCGGUGAAAUGCAUAGAGAUUACACAGAACACCAAUUGCGAAGGCAGCUCACUAAGCUAUAACUGACGCUGAGGCACGAAAGCGUGGGGAGCGAACAGGAUUAGAUACCCUGGUAGUCC